AUUGAACGCUGGCGGCAGGCUUAACACAUGCAAGUCGAGCGGGGUGAUGGUGCUUGCACUAUCACUUAGCGGCGGACGGGUGAGUAAUGCUUAGGAAUCUGCCUAUUAGUGGGGGACAACAUCUCGAAAGGGAUGCUAAUACCGCAUACGUCCUACGGGAGAAAGCAGGGGAUCACUUGUGACGUUGCGCUAAUAGAUGAGCCUAAGUCGGAUUAGCAAGUUGGUGGGGUAAAGGCCUACCAAUGCGACGGUCUGUAGCGGGUCUGAGAGGAUGAUCCGCCACACUGGGACUGAGACACGGCCCAGACGCCUCCGGGAGGCAGCAGUGGGGAAUAUUGGACAAUGGGGGGAACCCUGAUCCAGCCAUGCCGCGUGUGUGAAGAAGGCCUUAUGGUUGUAAAGCACUUUAAGCGAGGAGGAGGCUCUUUUGGUUAAUACCCAAGAUGAGUGGACGUUACUCGCAGAAUAAGCACCGGCUAACUCUGUGCCAGCAGCCGCGGUAA
rnacentral:rRNA from 1 species